rnacentral:rRNA from 1 species
GAUGAACGCUGGCGGCGUGCCUAAUACAUGCAAGUCGGGCGAACGGAUGAGAAGCUUGCUUCUCUGAUGUUAGCGGCGGACGGGUGAGUAACACGUGGAUAACCUACCUAUAAGACUGGGAUAACUUCGGGAAACCGGAGCUAAUACCGGAUAAUAUUUUGAACCGCAUGGUUCAAAAGUGAAAGACGGUCUUGCUGUCACUUAUAGAUGGAUCCGCGCUGCAUUAGCUAGUUGGUAAGGUAACGGCUUACCAAGGCAACGAUGCAUAGCCGACCUGAGAGGGUGAUCGGCCACACUGGAACUGAGACACGGUCCAGACUCCUACGGGAGGCAGCAGUAGGGAAUCUUCCGCAAUGGGCGAAAGCCUGACGGAGCAACGCCGCGUGAGUGAUGAAGGUCUUCGGAUCGUAAAACUCUGUUAUUAGGGAAGAACAUAUGUGUAAGUAACUGUGCACAUCUUGACGGUACCUAAUCAGAAAGCCACGGCUAACUACGUG